UACGUAGGGGGCGAGCGUUGUCCGGAUUUAUUGGGCGUAAAGAGCGUGUAGGCGGCCAAGCAGGUCAGCUGUGAAAACUCGAGGCUCAACCUCGAGACGUCGGUUGAAACCGCAUGGCUAGAGCCCGGAAGAGGAGAGUGGAAUUCCCGGUGUAGCGGUGAAAUGCGCAGAUAUCGGGAAGAACACCCGUGGCGAAGGCGGCCCUCUGGGACGGUACUGACGCUGAGACGCGAAAGCGUGGGGAGCGAACAGG
rnacentral:rRNA from 1 species